rnacentral:rRNA from 2 species
ACGGGUGAGUAACACGUGGGUGAUCUGCCCUGCACUUUGGGAUAAGCCUGGGAAACUGGGUCUAAUACCGAAUAUGACCGCGCACUUCCUGGUGUGUGGUGGAAAGCUUUUGCGGUGUGGGAUGGGCCCGCGGCCUAUCAGCUUGUUGGUGGGGUAAUGGCCUACCAAGGCGACGACGGGUAGCCGGCCUGAGAGGGUGACCGGCCACACUGGGACUGAGAUACGGCCCAGACUCCUACGGGAGGCAGCAGUGGGGAAUAUUGCACAAUGGGCGCAAGCCUGAUGCAGCGACGCCGCGUGAGGGAUGACGGCCUUCGGGUUGUAAACCUCUUUCAAUAGGGACGAAGCGCAAGUGACGGUACCUAUAGAAGAAGGACCGGCCAACUACGUGCCAGCAGCCGCGGUAAUACGUAGGGUCCGAGCGUUGUCCGGAAUUACUGGGCGUAAAGAGCUCGUAGGUGGUUUGUCGCGUUGUUCGUGAAAACUCACAGCUUAACUGUGGGCGUGCGGGCGAUACGGGCAGACUAGAGUACUGCAGGGGAGACUGGAAUUCCUGGUGUAGCGGUGGAAUGCGCAGA